rnacentral:tRNA from 1 species
UGGCAAGUAGUUUAAACAAAACAAAUGAUUUCGACUCAUUAGAUUAUGAUAAUCAUACUAGUCAA